GGAGGAAAGCAGGGGAUCGUAAGACCUUGCGCUUUUGGAGCGGCCGAUGUCUGAUUAGCUAGUUGGUGGGGUAAAGGCCUACCAAAGCUUCGAUCAGUAGCUGGUCUGAGAGGACGACCAGCCACACUGGGACUGAGACACGGCCCAGACUCCUACGGGAGGCAGCAGUGGGGAAUUUUGGACAAUGGGCGCAGGCCUGAUCCAGCCAUGCCGCGUGAGUGAAGAAGGCCUUCGGGUUGUAAAGCUCUUUCAGCCGGGAAGAAAAGACCGCGACUAAUAAUCGCGGUUCAUGACGGUACCGGAAGAAGAAGCACCGGCUAACUACGUGCCAGCAGCCGCGGUAAUACGUAGGGUGCGAGCGUUAAUCGGAAUUACUGGGCGUAAAGGGUGCGCAGGCGGUCUUGUAAGUCAGAUGUGAAAUCCCCGGGCUUAACCUGGGAAUUGCGUUUGAAACUACAAAGCUAGA
rnacentral:rRNA from 1 species